rnacentral:lncRNA from 1 species
CGGGUUUCGUCAUGCAUAAAAUGAACGAACAAUUCACAAAAAUAAUUCAAUAUAUUUCAUAAACAAUCACAACAUAUAUUUCAACUGAUAAGACAAAUAAAAAGCUAUAGAAACUAGAACAAUGUAUAAACGAACAAUAUUUUACUCAUAUCAUAAUAAGUAACAUACCAAUAUGUGUUCAAAAUCACCUCAAAUUUGAAUAAAUCCAAUCCCAGAAACUAGUUAAAAAUUUAUGCAUGGGGAACAAGCACAGGGGGCAGAAAAGUACGAUUGUGUUUUGUAAAUACCUUGUCAUCGACCAAUAUCCCAUAUUUAUAUCACAACAAUCCGAAGACAAAGUCAUAAAAGAAUCAAAAUUAGCUGAUUUUUAUAUUUUCGAAAAUAUCGAGCCUUCUACUUCA